GUUUAACCAGUGACGCAAAUCACUUUUGCAAUCGAUCUGAAUAUUUUUUGCUGUUAGAGACAUUGUUCGAAAUUUAUUUUUGAACUGUGGAAAGCCAGGCUUAUUUCCAUCCAAUAGCAGCAUGGACAUAUCAUAAUUCUAUAGAUUUUUACCAACACUCGGAAUUACUUAUAUAUAAUUCUUAAAAUUAUCUUUAUAAAGACAUUGUUCAUGAUAUCAUUUUGAUUGAUUCUGAUGAUCAAAUCAAUACUUUGCGAGCUUAACAUCAAACUUGAGUUUUGCUAAUUGAUUCUGCUUCCUAAUAGAUUUAAUUGAUCGAUCAUGAUGCUAAGUGUAACCUACCCCAUAGUUCUGAAGAUUUAAUUAGAAAAAAUUAAAAAAAAACCCAAAAACGCAGUA